GACGAACGCUGGCGGCGUGCCUAAUACAUGCAAGUUGAGCGCUGAAGGUUGGUACUUGUACCAACUGGAUGAGCAGCGCACGGGUGAGUAACGCGUGGGGAAUCUGCCUUUGAGCGGGGGACAACAUUUGGAAACGAAUGCUAAUACCGCAUAACAACUUUAAACACAAGUUUUAAGUUUGAAAGAUGCAAUUGCAUCACUCAAAGAUGAUCCCGCGUUGUAUUAGCUAGUUGGUGAGGUAAAGGCUCACCAAGGCGAUGAUACAUAGCCGACCUGAGAGGGUGGUCGGCCACAUUGGGACUGAGACACGGCCCAAACUCCUACGGGAGGCAGCAGUAGGGAAUCUUCGGCAAUUGACGAAAGUCUGACCGAGGAACGCCGCGGGAGUGAAGAAGGUUUUCGGAUCGUAAAACUCUGUUGGUAGAGAAGAACGUUGGUGAGAGUGGAAAGCUCAUCAAGUGACGGUAACUACCCAGAAAGGGACGGCUAACUACGUG
rnacentral:rRNA from 1 species